rnacentral:rRNA from 1 species
UCGAGCGGCAGCGCGGGGCAACCUGGCGGCGAGCGGCGAACGGGUGAGUAAUGCAUCGGAACAUGUCCAUGUCGUGGGGGAUAGCCCGGCGAAAGCCGGAUUAAUACCGCAUAAGCCCGAGAGGGGAAAGCCGGGGACCGCAAGGCCUGGCGCGAUUGGGUUGGCCGAUGUCCGAUUAGCUAGUUGGCGGGGUAAGAGCCCACCAAGGCGAUGAUCGGUAGCUGGUCUGAGAGGAUGAUCGGCCACACUGGGACUGAGACACGGCCCAGACUCCUACGGGAGGCAGCAGUGGGGAAUUUUGGACAAUGGGGGAAACCCUGAUCCAGCCAUUCCGCGUGAGUGAAGAAGGCCUUCGGGUUGUAAAGCUCUUUUGUCCGGAACGAAACGGUUGCGGUGAAUAUCCGCGACUACUGACGGUACCGGAAGAAUAAGCACCGGCUAACUACGUGCCAGCAGCCGCGGUAAUACGUAGGGUGCGAGCGUUA